GCCUUUGCUGGUGUGUGGCGAUUAGGCCUGGUGGAACUGCCAUCAAUAAAUCAAGCGUGAUCAGGGCAGCACUGAGAAGUGAAGGAAUAUUUGGGAGGAUCAGAAGCUUGGUCCUGAUUUUGCCAUCAACAGGAACUUGAUGACUUCAAGGGAGUCCCCAAACCCUGGGUUUCUGUUUUCUCAACUCUAACAUGAGGGGCUAGAUGCAUCUGGUUUAGUUAGUCUCCAUGAUGGUUUAGUUCGUCUCCAUGAUCCUGUGAAUUUCAGAUGUUGAAAAUCUUCGGAAAAGCCCUGAAAGAUGAACAGUGGUCUCAAAUAGUCAAGACCCCCUGCUGGGAGGAGCUUCUAUCCUGCUCUGUGGAAGAAAUGGGCAUGCCAGAUGC
rnacentral:lncRNA from 1 species